rnacentral:rRNA from 1 species
UAAAGAGCUCGUAGGCGGUCUGUCGCGUCGAAUGUGAAAACCCGGGGCUCAACCCCGGGCCUGCAUUCGAUACGGGCAGACUAGAGUUCGGUAGGGGAGUCUGGAAUUCCUGGUGUAGCGGUGAAAUGCGCAGAUAUCAGGAGGAACACCGGUGGCGAAGGCGGGACUCUGGGCCGAUACUGACGCUGAGGAGCGAAAGCGUGGGGAGCAAACAGGAUUAGAUACCCUGU